AUUGAACGCUGGCGGCAUGCUUUACACAUGCAAGUCGAACGGCAGCGCGGGCUUCGGCCUGGCGGCGAGUGGCGAACGGGUGAGUAAUACAUCGGAACGUGCCCAGUAGUGGGGGAUAGCUCGGCGAAAGCCGGAUUAAUACCGCAUACGACCUGAGGGUGAAAGCGGGGGAUCUUCGGACCUCGCGCUAUUGGAGCGGCCGAUGGCAGAUUAGCUAGUUGGUGGGGUAAAGGCCUACCAAGGCGACGAUCUGUAGCUGGUCUGAGAGGACGACCAGCCACACUGGGACUGAGACACGGCCCAGACUCCUACGGGAGGCAGCAGUGGGGAAUUUUGGACAAUGGGCGAAAGCCUGAUCCAGCAAUGCCGCGUGUGUGAUGAAGGCCUUCGGGUUGUAAAGCACUUUUGGCGGGAAAGAAAAGGACUGUGCCAAUACCACGGUUUGAUGACGGUACCCGCAGAAUAAGCACCGGCUAACUACGUG
rnacentral:rRNA from 1 species